rnacentral:rRNA from 1 species
CCUACGGGAGGCAGCAGUGGGGAAUAUUGGACAAUGGGGGGAACCCUGAUCCAGCCAUGCCGCGUGUGUGAAGAAGGCCCUCGUGUUGUAAAGCACUUUCAGUGAGGAAGAACGCCUGGUGGUUAAUACCCAUCAGGAAAGACAUCACUCACAGAAGAAGCACCGGCUAACUCCGUGCCAGCAGCCGCGGUAAUACGGAGGGUGCGAGCGUUAAUCGGAAUUACUGGGCGUAAAGCGCGCGUAGGUGGCUUGAUAAGCCGGUUGUGAAAGCCCCGGGCUCAACCUGGGAACGGCAUCCGGAACUGUCAAGCUAGAGUGCAGGAGAGGAAGGUAGAAUUCCCGGUGUAGCGGUGAAAUGCGUAGAGAUCGGGAGGAAUACCAGUGGCGAAGGCGGCCUUCUGGACUGACACUGACACUGAGGUGCGAAAGCGUGGGUAGCAAACAGGAUUAGAUACCCUGGUAGUC